rnacentral:rRNA from 1 species
UAGCGGCGCGCUUAAUGCAUGCAAGUCGAGCGAUGAGGCACCUUCGGGUGUACAUCAGCGGCAGACGGGUGAGUAACACGUGGGUGACCUACCCUAAAGACGGGGAUAACCCUCGGAAACGGGGGCUAAUACCGGAUAGCUACAGCGUACGGGGGUAUGUUGUAGAAAGCUACGGCGCUUUAGGAGGGGCCUGCGGCCCAUCAGCUAGUUGGUAGGGUAACGGCCUACCAAGGCAAAGACGGGUAGGGGGUGUGAGAGCACGGCCCCCCACAAUGGGACUGGAACACGGCCCAUACUCCUACGGGAGGCAGCAGCAGGGAAUAUUGCGCAAUGGGCGAAAGCCUGACGCAGCGACGCCGCGUGAGUGAAGACGGCUUUCGAGUUGUAAAACUCUUUUCUGGGGGAAGAGGAAGGACGGUACCCGAGGAAUAAGCGUCGGCUAACUACGUGCCAGCAGCCGCGGUAAGACGUAGGACGCGAGCGUUAUCCGGAUUUACUGGGCGUAAAGCGCCUGUAGGCGGCUUCGUAAGUUGGGCGUGAAAGCCCCGUGCUUAACGCGGGGAGGCCGUUCAAUACUGCGGAGCUAGAGUACGGCAGAGGGGAGUGGAAUUCCUGGAGUAGCGGUAAAAUGCGCAGAUAUCAGGAGGAACACCAGUGGCGAAGGCGGCUCCCUGGGCCGAGACUGACGCUCAGAGGCGAAAGCUAGGGGAGCGAACAGGAUUAGAGACCCUGGUAGUCCUAGCCCUAAACGAUGGAUGCUAAGUGUGGGGACGAGGAGUUUCCGUGCCGGAGCAAACGCGAUAAGCAUCCCGCCUGGGGACUACGGCCGCAAGGUUAAAACUCAAACGAAUUGACGGGGGCCCGCACAAGCAGCGGAGCGUGUGGUUUAAUUCGAUGCUACACAAAGAACCUUACUGGGUUUGACAUGUAGGUGGUACGAAGCGAAACUGAGCGACCUUCGGGGAGCCUACCAGGUGCUGAAUGGCUGUCGUAAGCUCGUGCCAUAAGUGUAAGGUUAAGUCCCGAAAGAGCGCACCCUGGUCCUAGUUAUACGUGUCUAGGGGGACUUCCGUCGGGAAGCCGGAGUAAGUUGGGGAUGACGUCAAGUCAGCAUGGCCCUUAUGUCCAGGGCUACACACACGCUACAAUGGCCAGUACAAAGGGUAGCGAAUCCGCGAGGUGGAGCGAAUCUCAGCAAAGCUGGUCGUAGUUCGGAUUGCAGGCUGCAACCCGCAUGCAUGAAGCUGGAGUUGCUAGUAACCGCGCGUCAGCUAUA